ACGUUACUACCAGAUAGCCCGGGUAUAAAUACUGCCAGCAGCCGCGUAAUAAGUAGGUGGCAAGCGUGUCCGGAUUAUUGGGCGUAAAGGGCUCGCAGGCGGUUUCUUAAGUCUGAUGUGAAAGCCCCCGGCUCAACCGGGGAGGGUCAUUGGAAACUGGGGAACUUGAGUGCAGAAGAGGAGAGUGGAAUUCCACGUGUAGCGGUGAAAUGCGUAGAGAUGUGGAGGAACACCAGUGGCGAAGGCGACUCUCUGGUCUGUAACUGACGCUGAGGAGCGAAAGCGUGGGGAGCGAACAGGAUUAGAUACCGUGGUAGUCCACGCCGUAAACGAUGAGUGCUAAGUGUUAGGGGGUUUCCGCCCCUUAGUGCUGCAGCUAACGCAUUAAGCACUCCGCCUGGGGAGUACGGUCGCAAGACUGAAACUCAAAGGAAUUGACGGGGGCCCGCACAAGCGGUGAAGCAUGUGGUUUAAUUCGAAGCAACGCGAAGAACCUUACCAGGUCUUGACAUCCUCUGACAAUCCUAGAGAUAGGACGUCCCCUUCGGGGGCAGAGUGACAGGUGGUGCAUGGUUGUCGUCAGCUCGUGUCGUGAGAUGUUGGGUUAAGUCCCGCAACGAGCGCAACCCUUGAUCUUAGUUGCCAGCAUUCAGUUGGGCACUCUAAGGUGACUGCCGGUGACAAACCGGAGGAAGGUGGGGAUGACGUCAAAUCAUCAUGCCCCUUAUGACCUGGGCUACACACGUGCUACAAUGGACAGAACAAAGGGCAGCGAAACCGCGAGGUUAAGCCAAUCCCACAAAUCUGUUCUCAGUUCGGAUCGCAGUCUGCAACUCGACUGCGUGAAGCUGGAAUCGCUAGUAAUCGCGGAUCAGCAUGCCGCGGUGAAUACGUUCCCGGGCCUUGUACACACCGCCCGUCACACCACGAGAGUUUGUAACACCCGAAGUCGGUGAGGUAACCUUUUAGGAGCCAGCCGCCGAAGGUGGGACAGAUGAUUGGGGUGAAGUCGUAACAAGGUAACC
rnacentral:rRNA from 1 species